rnacentral:tRNA from 11 species
GCCGGGAUAGCUCAGUUGGUAGAGCAGGGGACUGAAAAUCCU